CUGACAUGGAGCCUCAUGGUCUAGUGCACUAGCAUUCACAGCAAAUUAGUCUCAGUUUUACUGUAUUCCUUAACCACACUAAGUAGUACCUAGAGAAAUAAAAUUAUUUUACCAGGUCACUGCAAAUUGAAUAGCUCUUAAAACUGAAAAAUAAUAGAAGGAUUCAGUGAUAGUCUUCAAAUAAGUCUUAAAAUACAUCACACUAUGGUUUGAACUUUCUUUUUUAGACUUAGUAGAAAGGAAAAUGGAGGAGGAGAAGGAGGAGGAAUCCAUUUUUCAUUUUCUCUUUAAUUUUUGAAAUCCUGAGCUUGGCAGGCCACUGGCUGCCUCAAACAAUUCACUGCAAUUCCUUCCUGGAAAGCUUCCUCCUCUCCAGAAGCAAAGCACCCCUCUUAGCUUUCCAUAGAAGAGGAAAAGUGCAUAUUGAAAGUUUCAAGACACAAGAUAUCAGAACAUACUGGA
rnacentral:lncRNA from 1 species